rnacentral:rRNA from 1 species
UACGGAGGGUGCAACCGUUGCUCGGAAUUAUUGGGCGUAAAGCGCACGUAGGUGGUCUGCUAUGUCGGGUGUGAAAUCCCUCGGCUUAACCGAGGAAGUGCAUUCGAAACUGGCAGGCUAGAGUACUGAAGAGGGUCGCGGAAUUCCCGGUGUAGAGGUGAAAUUCGUAGAUAUCGGGAGGAACACCAGUGGCGAAGGCGGCUAACUGGUCCAGCACUGACGCUGAGGUGCGAAAGCGUGGGGAGCAAACAGG